AGUGGAAUUGCUGGAUCGCCUGGUGACUCUAUGUUUAACCAUUUAAGAAACUACCAAGCUAUUUUUAAAAGUGGCUGCACCAUUUCAUGUCCCCACUAGCAAU
rnacentral:pre_miRNA from 1 species